GUUUUUUAAAUGAAAGCAGACUGAACAAAUCAAGUACAGGGUGUGGUUCUUCUGUGAGGUCACAGUGACCAGACUCUUUAAAUGCAGACCAGCUGAGGGUUAAGCUCAACCUUGGAAAAACACCAUCCAGGUAGACAGGUUGCCCUUGCUCCUCUUAGGGGCAAUGAAGCCUUUCUCUCUGGAAUCAAAACAGUUCAGAAGAUAAAAAUGGCAAGAUGUAGAAGUUAUAAUUCCCCAAGGCGGCGUCGGGUUAGGAGAAGAAGGAGGAGAAGGAGAAGAAGGAGAGCGAGAAAGAGAAGAAGAGCAAGUGUUGUAGCACGUACUGCAUGCUACUAUAGGAAAGCAAGAUAGACUCCGAUGAAUUUCUUUUCUUAUCCGUGGGAGCUAGCAAUAAACCAGCCAUCAAUUUCCCAUCAUCAAGGCAAAAUGGAGCCAUUGCCUUUUACAAUCCCAGAAGAAAGAGCACGGUGGUAUCUUAGAUGCAGGGUCCCUACAGCAACACUGGAGCAAAGCCAGGACCUGUCUCAAUAAAAGUGUGGAAAAUGCAAA